rnacentral:tRNA from 1 species
AUGUAGCUCAGUGGUAGAGCAUUUGCCUAGCAUACACAAGGCCCUAGGUUCAAUCCCCAGCAU